AAAAGAACUUUGAAGAGAGAGUUAAGAGGACGUGAAACCGUGCAGAAGUAACUUGGUGGACGGGCAAUGUCGCCUGUAGAAUUCAGCUAAUGGUGUGGGCUUUUUGUGAUCUGCGCUGCGCUUAACUGCGUAUCAGGUGGCAUUACAGUCUGCAUCGUUGGUGCACUUUCUACGGGUGAGCGCAAAGAUCCCUUAGUGCGUCGACAAAAGUGCCAAUGGAGUAGCCUCAGGUUAAUUCUUGGGAGCUUACAUUGGAUUACCGGCCGAUUGCGCUGAGGGAGAUCACACUCUAGUUGCAUGUCUCUCGACGUGUGUCUUCGUGGGGAAUCGAACUGUUGGUGUUUCCAUCGCAAGGUGGAACGCUACGACCCUUUCUUGCGAACGACGCUAGUUUGAGAUUCGCUGGAUAUGAUCUUUUGCGUCCGAGUCCCUCACCCACCUAUAUCGUCUUGAAACACGAGCCGAGAAGUCUAACAGAUGCGCAAGUCAAUGGGCUUUCAACAAACCCCAAAGGCGAAAUGAACGUAAAGCCGUGGCCUUGUGCUCGGUGAGCUGAGAUCCGUAGCUUGCUGCGGCGCAUCAGCGUCCCGUCUUAAGAACCCUUCGGGGCUUCUGAGGCGGAGAUAGAGCGUAUCUGUUAGGACCCGAAAGAUGGUGAACUAUGCCUGUGUAGACUGAAGCCAGAAGAAAUUCUGGUGGAAGGUCGUAGCGUUUUUGACGUGCAAAUCAAUCGUCAAACAUGGGCAUAGGGGCGAAAGACUAAUCGAACCAUC
rnacentral:rRNA from 1 species